CCCUUAGAUGUCCGGGGCCGCACGCGCGCUACACUGAAGGAAUCAGCGUGGCUUUCUCCCUGACCCGAAAGGGUUGGGAAACCCGUUGAAUCUCCUUCGUGAUAGGGAUUGGGGCUUGAAAUUGUUCCCCAUGAACGAGGAAUUCCCAGUAAGCGCGAGUCAUAAGCUCGCGUUGAUUACGUCCCUGCCCUUUGUACACACCGCCCGUCGCUACUACCGAUUGAACGGUGUAGUGAGGGCCUCGGAUUGGUCUCGGCCCGCUCUUUACCGGGCGGCGCCGUUGGUCGAGAAGACGCUCGAACUUGAUCGUUUAGAGGAAGUAAAAGUCGUAACA
rnacentral:rRNA from 1 species